rnacentral:rRNA from 1 species
GAUGAACGCUAGCGGCAGGCUUAAUACAUGCAAGUCGAGGGGCAGCAGGGUGUAGCAAUACAUCGCUGGCGACCGGCAAACGGGUGCGGAACACGUACGCAACCUUCCUUCAAGUGGGGAAUAGCCCGGGGAAACCCGGAUUAAUACCCCGUAAUAUUAUGAGGCGGCAUCACCUUAUAAUUAUAGUUCCGACGCUUGAAGAUGGGCGUGCGCCUGAUUAGGUAGUUGGCGGGGUAACGGCCCACCAAGCCUACGAUCAGUAACUGGUGUGAGAGCACGACCAGUCACACGGGCACUGAGACACGGGCCCGACUCCUACGGGAGGCAGCAGUAAGGAAUAUUGGUCAAUGGACGCAGGUCUGAACCAGCUAUGCCGCGUGGAGGAUGAAGGUCCUCUGGAUUGUAAACUUCUUUUAUUUGGGAAGAAACCCAUAUUUUCUAAUGUGGUUGACGGUACCAAGUGAAUAAGCACCGGCUAACUCCGUGCCAGCCGCCGCCGUAAUAC